AUUGACCGCUGGCGGCAGGCCUAACACAUGCAAGUCGAACGAGUGGCGGACGGGUGAGUAAUGUCUGGGAAACUGCCUGAUGGAGGGGGAUAACUACUGGAAACGGUAGCUAAUACCGCAUACCAUCAGAUGUGCCCAGAUGGGAUUAGCUAGUUGGUGGGGUAACGGCUCACCAGGGCGACGAGCCCUAGCUGGUCUGAGAGGAUGACCAGCCACACGGGAAUUGAGCGACGGUCCAGACUACUAUGGUAGGUAGCGGUGGGGAAGAUGGCACAAUGGGCGCAAGGCUGAUGCAGCCAUGCCGCGUGGAUGAAGAAGGCAUUCGGGUGGUAAAGUACUUUCAGCGGGGAGGCGUUACCCGCAGAAGAAGCACCGGCUAACUCCGUGCCAGCGGCCGCGGUAAUAC
rnacentral:rRNA from 1 species